rnacentral:rRNA from 1 species
UUGGGCGUAAGAGCUCGUAGGCGGCCUGCCGCGUCGGAUGUGAAAGCCCGGGGCUUAACCCCGGGUCUGCAUUCGAUACGGGCAGGCUAGAGUUCGGCGGGGGAGAUUGGAAUUCCUGGUGUAGCGGUAAAAUGCGCAGAUAUCAGGAGGAACACCGGUGGCGAAGGCGGAUCUCUGGGCCGAUACUGACGCUGAGGAGCGAAAGCGUGGGGAGCGAACAGGAUUAGAUACCCUGGUAGUCCACGCCGUAAACGUUGGGCACUAGGUGUGGGCGGCAUUCCACGUCGUCCGUGCCGCAGCUAACGCAUUAAGUGCCCCGCCUGGGGAGUACGGCCGCAAGGCUAAAACUCAAAGGAAUUGACGGGGGCCCGCACAAGCGGCGGAGCAUGUGGCUUAAUUCGACGCAACGCGAAGAACCUUACCAAGGCUUGACAUACACCGGAAAACUCUGGAGACAGGGUCCCCCUUUGGGUCGGUGUACAGGUGGUGCAUGGCUGUCGUCAGCUCGCGUCGUGAGAUGUUGGGUUAAGUCCCGCAACGAGCGCAACCCUUAUCCUGUGUUGCCAGCAUGCCUUUCGGGGUGAUGGGGACUCACGGGAGACUGCCGGGGUCAACUCGGAGGAAGGUGGGGACGACGUCAAGUCAUCAUGCCCCUUAUGUCUUGGGCUGC